CUCAGAAAGAAUGUGGAAGAAAACCUUACUCUGGAAAAAAUAAGCAACUUGCGCAACCCUGGAGGAAUGAGGCAGUGUGAGUCACAGCAGGCACAGCUCCUCGCCCAGCCCAAAUCUCACCCAGUGAGGAGAGCUCGCUGGGCCCUGCACCCAUCCAGCAAUGGUGGGGCAUGCUGGGACACAGCACAGCAUAUAAAAGGGCAUAUAUGAGAUAUGAGGUGUAUGGGAGCUGCUGAGUCACAGCCUGAACCACUGAUUGAGCACCUGGGGAAAGGACCCGGUCAGCCCUGGGAGCACAGAGACCUUGCGGUCACCGGGACACCGAUGAUGCUUCUCUGUGUGAUGGAUGUGUUCACAGAAUUAGGCCCCAUGACACGGAAGUGGAUGCUGCUCCAAUUUUCUUUCAAGAAACACUACCGGAAUCAUCCUUAAGAUGAAAUUUCAUUUUAAAACUGCAUUCUUUCUCUAGCAAUGGGAACAUUAAGCCAUUCCAAUUGGUUUGUCAGCAGCUGGAAGAGGUUAGAAUAGUGAAACUGGAGUCCACCUACCUGCUGGAAAAGUACAGCUGAAAGAGGCAAUUUCUAGACAACAAAGGGUAAGGAGGUGAGGUGAAGAUACUGUUAUUCUAGUGGCCAGAAGGGUGCUAUCAUCAAGUUAGUAAGAAUAAUGUUUUCCUUAGCUCUCAUGGGACUUCUUUGUCCAUGUGGAUCCAUUUCAAACAUUUUUCCCCUUUAAGCACUCCUUGAUAAUAAAAAAAAAACUGAUAUAAGCGCUCUUUCAUGGGAAGAAUCUCACUUUGGUCUGUGUAUUUUGUCUUCAGAAAACCAUAGGGCUCAGAGUGGGUACAAAAAGAGCUUAGUACUCAAAAAAUACAGCCCACAGCUGAGAGAAACUGCAAGAGCAGGGGUUAAUGGUACUGAGGGCUUCAUGGUUCAGCUGUUUGCAGAUCAGUAAUUAGAAUCCUCUGCUUACCGCAUUGAUCUCUCCCUGAGCA
ensembl:lncRNA